UACGUAGGGUGCGAGCGUUGUCCGGAAUUACUGGGCGUAAAGAGCUCGUAGGCGGUCUGUCACGUCGGGAGUGAAAACUCAGGGCUUAACCCUGAGCCUGCUUCCGAUACGGGCAGACUAGAGGUAUGCAGGGGAGAACGGAAUUCCUGGUGUAGCGGUGAAAUGCGCAGAUAUCAGGAGGAACACCGGUGGCGAAGGCGGUUCUCUGGGCAUUACCUGACGCUGAGGAGCGAAAGUGUGGGGAGCGAACAGG
rnacentral:rRNA from 1 species